rnacentral:rRNA from 1 species
AUUGAACGCUGGCGGCAGGCCUAACACAUGCAAGUCGAGCGAGCGGCGGACGGGUGAGUAAUGUAUGGGGACUGCCCGAUAGAGGGGGAUAACUACUGGAAACGGUAGCUAAUACCGCAUACUAUCGGAUAACCCAUAUGGGAUUAGCUAGUAGGUAAGGUAACGGCUUACCUAGGCGACGAUCCCUAGCUGGUCUGAGAGGAUGAUAAGCCACACUGGGACUGAGACACGGCCCAGACUCCUACGGAGGCAGCAGUGGGGAAUAUUGCACAAUGGGCGCAAGCCUUAUGAAGCCAUGCCGCGUGUAUGAAGAAGGCCUUCGGGUUGUAAAGUACUUUCAGUCGGGAGGCGUGACCGACAGAAGAAGCACCGGCUAACUCCGUACCAGCAGCCGCGGUAAUUC